UCACACCCCAGGGGUCUGAGAUCGGACCCACCUCCAUGGUCUUGUAUCCACCUCUUCAUCUUUCCUCCUCACACUGAAGCUCCGCAGCACCUGAAGUCCUCUCCAGCAAAGUGACGAGUCACACCUCGCCCUUCCACCCCCACCCCUGAGGACGGAGAGUUGGGGUGCAGCCCAGUCCCAGUUUCUUUGAUGCUUGACACUCGGCUUCAAAGUCCUUCUCAUCAAAGCCGCGGACUUGGGAUCAGGCCCAGCAGCAGCUCGGCAUCCUGCUUUACACACACAAGAAAGAGACAGGAUGGAGUGUCUCCCCCUUUAGGUUCAUCCGACUUUAACGAGGAACUUCCUUACAAGGGGCACCACAAGACAAAGUUGGUGAAAUUACACAUGAAAGGCUAAAAAUCGAAGCUCGAAACAUGUUGAAAGUGUUUUGUCAGGGUGAUAACAAGAUAUGAAGUUGUACGUUCUUCUACUUUUGUUGUACACAGCAAAAAAUAAGAAACAGGGCUGAUUUGUAAAGAUCAGUGAAAAUGCAUGCGUGCAUCAACAUCUAUAAAGUGUGCAGCUAAAAGGAGUUUUGCCUAUAUACUGUAGAAGGUAUAAAAAUGAUACACAUACAGGAUAUGCCUGGAAACAUUUCCAUAUAAUUUCAAAUGACAUUUUCUAUAUUUGCUCUGCAUCAUAUUUAUUGCCAUAUAUAACUAUAUGUAGUGGUUAUGGAACGUUUAUCACUUCUGCUUUUUAUAGUUGUUUCCUACAGAGCAGCAGCAGAGUCUGGAGUGCAGGUGUUAGUUUUAGAAACCUGCACUUCCUGCAGACAGCGUGAGCUGACAAUAGGGAAGCUUCAGGGAAUAAAAGGUGAGAAGGGUAAAACUCACAAGGUGGGAGAAGUUGUCAAGAUCGGAGGAAGCACAGCUCAAUUUGCUCACAGCCUAAUCUGUUCCUAAAUGAUGAAAUACCAGUUGUUCCUGGAGCUUGCUCAGAAGCCGGAAAGACAAAGUACCACUGUAUCUUUUCUUCAAUCACAGCAUGAAAGCCACAGAGAAGCUGAUAAAUAUAUAUACAGAAAUUGGUGCUUUUAAACAGGAAGGAAAAAUCGGAUCUUGGUGAAUUUAUUUGUACUAAUCUGGAGACAAAUUUUUGAUGUGCACAUUUACUGAUUUUCAGUAGAAAUUACAAACAUUUCCUUAUUUUAUAAAAAGUAUAUUUUGGGAUCCCAAGACCAGGAUACAAAUACAAACCAGAGAUAAUCAUUUCCCACUGAUGCAUGUGUGAAGAUGCCUUUCUUAACAUGUGGAUCCCUCUAAAAACCGUUAAUAAUAAUAGAUCAGAUAAUAGAUAGAUAAUAAAUAGAUCAGCCAUAAGCAUAAUUAUGAUAUAAACAGCUCGGGUAUAUAACACGGCUACGAGCUCUGGUUUCAGAUAAAGAAGAAGAUGAGAGUUAUCACCUGACCCCAACUGUCGCGUCGGCCUUAUCAAAAAUAUAAAAGUAAAACCUGUGGAGUGUUGACAUCGUUAGUCCUUUACCCAGAAACAUGUAUUUCUUUGUGUGCUCCAUGUGCGUGAGUGUGCACAUGCUCCUGUAUGUGCAUUUGGGAGAUAAAACUGUGGUAACCUCUCCAGUGAUAAUCCUGCUGCCUGUCAGUCCAGGCAUAAUGGAGCCAUACCGGGACGCUCUUCCACUGUGACUGUCUGGAACAUACACACACACACACACACACACACAACCUUUAUUAUCUUCCAAUAUCUGGGCCACCUGGGGACAACCCCCAUUGUCUGCUGAAGCCGCGCAGACACAUAAGCGCUCCGUCUGUACAAGAGGCACAGAUAACUGUCUGACUAUACGUGGGGCAGAUGAACUAGAACAGUGUAGACACGGCAGCCUCACCUGACCGUCUGGAGCCUCGUUGCUCUCAGCACAUAAGGUCAGAACACACUUGAGGGACGUGAAGGGCAGGAAACACUGCGAGCAGAGCACUGGCUCGUACUUGGAAAUAUAAGAUCAGGAAGACAGAGGGAAUUGGAAAGAGAGAAACACUCAAGCAGAGAGACACACACAGCGGUUCGUUCACACUCUUUUGCUCUUUUUCCACUUGGCUGAGCGAUAGACGGAUGCACAGAAAGUGAUGGAAGCAACCUUUCGCAGAAGGGGAUGUUCAGAUGAGAGACUUUAUCGAAGCAGCACGGGUGGCACAGGGAGGAUAAUCUGCUGGAUGUCCACCCUCAGUUCUCAGGAUGGGAAUGUGUGGAUUGUGUCCUAGCUUGUUGCCCGGGCUAACGCUCUCCCCUGUCAAGAUAAUUCAUAGGUCAUGGUUGUUCGCCUCCAUCUGCAUGUGUUGUGUAAACUAGGAAAAACACGUUCCCUAAGGUUACUGCAGUAGUCUUACAGGAGGAGCUGCAGGUGUUAUGUGGGGCUGGGGCUGAUGGUCCCUGCACACUCACAGUGAGAGCUGCAUCUGGGUCAAGGACAUUAAAAGCAUGCACUGAACUGACAUGGGGAUUACUGAUUGUGACAACACUUGAGGAGGUUAUUAUUGUAUACUGGUAAUGGUAAGAAAAAUAUACAAGACAAAGUGGCAGAGAUGACAAGCUCUAGAGAUUCUUUUUUUCUUAAAAGCUUUCCACAAUUAUUAUUAUUAUCAUUUCUUCAAAGUCUUCUCCCGGCCUUACUGCACAUCCUGAUUCACUACACCCACUGUUGACGUCCACGCGUCUUGCAGAGGAUGCACACAGCUAGCGCUCUUACGAAAACUCAGGACACAGCAGAUAGCCACCGCACAUGCACAUGAGAUUUUCCUUAUUGCAGAUCAAUCAGGGUAAUGUUAGCUUAGAAGGAUCUACUGGAAACAGCGCUUUACCGGGUGGGUAGCAGACCAUUUACACGCCUCCCCUUGCAUGGUAAUGUGCACACUGACGAAACAUUAAAGAGGCAGUAUAAAGUGACUGAAAAUGAAAACUAGUGAAGCGAGAACUGUUGGGCAGCUUCAGUGGGUAAAUCUGGGAGUUGUGGUCUACAAACAGCUUUUGGAAGAUUCUGUUGACGCUUUUUGACUUCAGUGAAACGCUGGACUACCACUUCAUGAGAAAAAUGAUCGGUAUUUUGUCAACAGUUUUUUUUUGACAGUGCCCGUUUACACGCGCAGCACCACAACAGUACAUCCAUUGAUCAGAUGAAAUUUCCCCCUCUGUUACUCUGUUUGUUAUUACGACAUAAGGCGAUUAAAUUCAGUGUCAACAUAAAAAAACAUGGACAUGUUGACACGCUGCAUUAAUGCCCGUGAAACUUGACAUGGACAAGUGGUUUGACCCUGUCACAUGCACCACAACAGCUGCAGGAAAUCAAAUGAAUGGUGGCUGAGGUCUGCGGCAAUCUUAUGAAAGAGUGCACACCAUGGGACGUAGGGCUUGGUGAUGGUCCUUAGACUGUGUUAACAACAUUAAUCAUUCAGCAAUUGUGAAUAAAUUACUUCAAAUGGA